rnacentral:rRNA from 1 species
GACGAACGCUGGCGGCGUGCUUAACACAUGCAAGUCGAACGAAGUGGCGAACGGGUGAGUAACGCGUAAUUAACCUGCCCUUAAGAGGGGGACAACAGUUGGAAACGACUGCUAAAACCGCAUACUGAAGGAGGGGAUUGCGUCUGAUUAGCGAGUGGGAGGGGUAACGGCCCACCAAGGCGAUGAUGAGUAGCCGGUCUGAGUGGAUGAACGGCCACAUUGGGACUGAGACACGGCCCAGACUCCUACGGGAGGCAGCAGUGGGGAAUCUUCCGCAAUGGACGAAAGUCUGACGGAGCAACGCCGCGUGAGUUAUGACGGCCUUCGGGUUGUAAAGCUCUGUUAAUCAGGACGCGGUACCGGAAUAGAAAGCCACGGCUAACUACGUGCCAGCAGCCGCGGUAAUUC